rnacentral:rRNA from 1 species
UACGUAGGGACCAAGCGUUGUUCGGAUUUACUGGGCGUAAAGGGCGCGUAGGCGGUGUUGUAAGUCACUUGUGAAAUCUCCGGGCUUAACUCGGAACGGUCAAGUGAUACUGCAGCACUAGAGUGCGGAAGGGGCAAUCAGAAUUCUUGGUGUAGCGGUGAAAUGCGUAGAUAUCAAGAGGAAUACCUGAGGUGAAGACGGGUUGCUAGGCCGACACUGACGCUGACAGCGCGAAAGCCAGGGGAGCAAACGGG